CCGGGGCUCGCCGUCGGAGCAGCACCGUGACAGCGUCUCUUCAGCCGCCAGUCGGAGCCCCGAGAGCAAGGAGAGCAGGUCAGCUCUACAAAACAAGAUGUGUUGGCAAAUCAUCCCAACCAUGGUUGUGCUGAUGGACUUCCUUCAGAUGGCAGCUGCCCAUUGCAUGGUCCAUCCAGUUCCUCCCAGGAAUUUCACACUGCCCUGUGUGCUGCUGAAUGAGACCUUUUUGAGCCCUUUCUCAGCUGGGAGCUGGUCUGGUUUGAGGAGAGAACUUGGAGCACCCAAAAUCAAGCCUUUAAUGAAUGAAGAAAAUUUUCUGUGUUGCCUUUGGAGUGCCAGCAGCAUUGAUUGUUCUUUGUACAGAGCAAGGAUGCAGGCAAGGAAGUUUAUUCCUUCAGAAAUAAAUCUCUCUGCUCCUCAGAAAAUAGACUGGAGCUGGAACAUGGAGUGUUGGAUUAGAGGCAGGCUGGACCUGUUGGUUUGUAACCUGCAGCUUUUGAAGCUGGACCUGAGGGCUGACCUGAAGGUGAAUCUUUUAUACUCUGGGUCAGAGCUGUCCCUGGGGGCUGCAUCCACGAGCUCUCUGCAGGGGACAGUGAGGGUGGCUCCGUGUGACUGCGGGGACCAGGCCACCUGCCAGUGCCUGGUGGCCACCCCGAGCCUCAACCACACCUACCUGCUGUGGCUGGAGAUGGUGGCAGGUGGCACAGCCCUGGGGUCACCGCCGGUGGCCCUGCAGCCCACGGACAUCGUGAAGCCUGAGGCCCCCGUGAAGCUGCGCCUGGAGCUGGCUGAGAGGGGCCAGGUGAAGCUCUGCUGGUCCAGCCCUGCCCCGCUGCCCUUCCCUCUGCAGCACCAAGUGAGGAUCUCUGCUCCUCCGGGACACGGGGACAGCCAGAUGCUUCAGGUUGCCCUGGAAAGCUCCGUGGCCAUGGACAAUUCCCUGCUGGAUUCUCCAUCCUCAGUGCAAGUGAGGAGCAGGAAUCUCCAUGGUCCAGGCUUCUGGAGUGACUGGAGCACACCCUACAACCUCACUUUGGGAGCUCAGGUGCUGUACUUCCCUCCCCGGAGCCUGACCAGCGCUGGCUCCAACCUCUCAUUCCUGUGCCUGUACACGAGCAGCACGCAGCCCGCGGAGGCCCAGGAGCUGGUCUGGUGGCUGAACCUAGCGGAGCAAAUCCCAGCCAGGCAAUAUUCCCUUGUCAGCAGCCGUGUGAGCAAAGUCACUCUCUUCAACCUGAAAGCCACCCAGCCCAGAGGAGGCUUCCUCUAUAACGCCCUGUACUGCUGUCACCAAAGCAGGGAGUGCCACCACAGAUACGCUGAGUUCUACGUAGUAGACAUGGAUUUUAAUAUCUCCUGUGAGACUGAUGGCUACCUGACUAAAAUGACUUGCAGGUGGUCUGCAAACCCAACCACCUUGCUCCUGGGGAGUCUGCAGUUAAGAUAUCACAGGAGUCAAAUUUAUUGCUCUGACUUUCCAAGCCCAUCUCCAAACUCAGAGGUGAAAGAAUGCCAUUUGCAGAGGAACCACUCCUACGAGUGCACCUUCCAGCCCAUUUUCCUGCUGUCUGGAUAUACCCUGUGGAUAGAGUUUAAACACUUCCUGGGAACCCUGGAAUCCUCCCCAACUUGUGUCAUCCCAGCAGAUGUGGUGAAGCCUCUCCCCCCUUCCAACGUGGGAGCAGAGCUCACCAGGAACACGGGGCUGCUGAACGUGAGCUGGACCCAGCCUGUCUUUGCCAGCAGGGAUCUGACAUUCCAGAUCCGCUGGAAUUCAGGGAGCAGGGAGGACAUUCCAUGGCAGCUCUAUGAAGUGCCAAAGCCUGCAGGCAGCUGGGCUGUGCUCCGAGUGCAGCAGCUCUGUGUGCAGUACGUGGUGCAGGUGCGCUGCAGGGAGCUGGAUGGAUCCGGCUACUGGAGUGACUGGAGCAGAGCAGCCCAAACCCUCGUUCAGGACAUCAGAGCUCCCUUGCAAGGCCCGGAAUUUUGGAGGAUCGUUUCUGAGGAUCCAGCAAGGAAGCAGAGGAAUGUUACCCUCCUCUGGAAGCCCCUGGUGCAGAAUCACUCGUUGUGCAGUGUGAGCAGAUACAUCAUAAAGCACCAGACCCCAGGGAACACCUCCUGGGAGGAGUUUGUGGAUCAUGGCACCAGCUGGACUUUCCCAUGGAUGGAGCCAACCCACACCGUCACCAUCUUAGCCAUGAAUUCAGUUGGAAUUUCUGCAAUUAAUUCUAAUUUAACUCUGUCCCAGCAAAUGAGCACAGUGGAUGCUGUGCAAUCCCUGAGUGCUUACCUGGUGAACAGCACCUGUGUGGUUGUGGUUUGGAGUCUCUCCCCCCAAAUCCCUGGGAUAAAAUCCUUUGUGAUCGAGUGGAGGAACCUGAACAAAGAGGAGCAGAUGAAAUGGCUGCGAGUUCCUCCAAAUCUCAGGAAAUAUUUCAUUUAUGAUCACUUUAUCCUGAUUGAGAAGUACCAGUUCAGCCUCUACCCUGUGUUUGCUGGAGGAGUUGGCAAAGCCAGAGCCACGGAUCAGUUUGCCAAAGGGGGAUUUGAAACUGGGAAUACUGGCAGCCUCCACGUGGUCCUGCCCAUUGUUUUUUCCACCUCAGUUCUGCUGCUGGGAGCGUUGCUGGUUUCACACCAAAGGAUGAAGAAGCUGCUCUGGGAGGAUGUUCCCAACCCCAAGAACUGCUCGUGGGCACAAGGAGUUAAUUUCCAGCAGGAUUGUUUCAGAAGGAGAAAUCAUCCAUGGAAUUGCCCUCGUUUUUUUGAGACUAUGACAAAUCCUUCCCACUUCCCAUCUCCUGCACCUGCCUGCUGCUUUAUGGAUGAGAAAUUCCAGUGGUUCCAUUCCAGCCCUGGCGUUGCUCCAGGGAAGUGUCUGCCUUUAAAAACUGCCCAGCAUUUUCAAAGUAAUAAAAAGCUUCAGUGGCUCCAUGAGCUCCUGCCCUUUUCCUAGGAAAGCUGGUGGGUCUUUUUCAGGGAAGCCACCCUGCUGGAGGGGAGCUGCCUGGCCUGCUGGUUUAUCCAUUUCCAUGCAGGCUUUGGGAAUCCACAGCAGCCUCCUCAGCCACUCCUGAGGAUGAAAAACCUCAUCAACACCUCCCAAAGGGAUUUUUGGAGGGGUGGGAUGCACAUCAUUCACUGCACAGCUGGUGCUCCAUGCACUUCUCCCAAAUAAAUCCCUAAUAAAGCUGCAGGAGGGAUGGAAUGCCUGCCCUGCACCUCUUCCCUCCUUGCUCAGCUUCUCUCUCCCUCUUGAUGUCAAACCCAACAAUUCUUCUACUGCUGGUGUGAAAUGGGGAGGGGAAAUUCCAUUGCCUGAUCCCAGCAUCUGUUAUAUCCCAUUUAAUUCCCAUUUAUUUGAUAUCCAUGAGCUUCUUCAGCUCCGUCAGCUGGAAGGACAGAUAAGGGAGCACAGACAUUCAUUAAUUGUGCCCAACCAAUUAAUUAAUUCACGGAUCUCUUACAGUAUCCGGGGUGUGUGUUUCCUUUCCCUGUUUCCAUCCUGUCCUGUUCAUCUCCCAACAAUCCACAGCCUCCCUCAGUUUUCACCUGAAUCCCUUUUCCUGGCACCAAGAUCUUUAUGGAAGAAGAGGGAGGAUGACAAAGCCAUUUGGGUUUGAUAAGCUGAGGGCACAGAGGGGAAAAAAAAUCCUGUGGGGAGUCUCUGUCUGGCUUUGCUUGGUGUGGGCAGUGCCAAGAAUCUCCUGAUCCUCCCUGAAAAGAGGGAUUUUGGAGGGGGGAGGGCACCAUGUCCAGAGUAAACCCAGAAAUUUGUGUAAAAUACCCCAAAAUGGCCUUAGUGGAGGUUCUGAGGCUGCCUUGGGGGUGCUGGAGGGCACAGGAACCAGGACCCCCUUCUGUUUAUAUCAGCCAUUCUCAUUCCAACUUCAUUUCCUGCUGCUCCCUUCCUGUUUUAAUGGGAAAUGUUUCCUUUGACAGGACCUCACCGAAUCCAUUUAUCCUGCUCUGUUCCAGCUCUCCUGCCACAUUUAUCACCCAAGGAUCUGAGUGCAUUCAACACAACCACAGACAUCUGCCAGCUUAUUUUUUCUCCCUCUCAGUCUCCUCAGGAGAAAAAAAAAAAGAAAUGAGUGCAACAGUUUUCCUAUUUUAGCAAGUUGGACUUUUCCCCCAGCCUCUCUCCCACAAACAUUGCUUUAGGUUUUUUUUUUUCUAGUAGAGAAAACAAAUCCCCACAGGAUCCACAUCCUCAGGUUUGAUCCUGAGACAGUUUUAGUUUCCAGAAACAAAGCUGGGCCACCCCUCCACUGCCCAGCUCUAGGGAAGGAGUCAGGAAUAUCAGGAAUACUCUUCCUCUCACCAGGCAGCCUUUUGGCUGGAGGAUUGGGAAUGUGGGAAUCUUGCACCACAACGGGACAGAAAUGGUCACAAGUCACAGGGAAAUGAGGAAAAGCAUCACCUGGACUGGUGAGAGCUCUGUGUCAACAAUGAAUCCCAAAAACCCUCCUGAGCUACUGCCUGAAGAGAUGAUCCCUGUGCAUCAUCUCCAUGGUGUUGGCACUUAAAAAAACCCCAUGGAAUGGUUUGGAUAGAGAGGGACCUUAAACCCAUUUAAUUCCAAGCUCUGCCGUGGCAGGGACACUCCCACUGUCCCAGGCUGCUCCAAACCCCAUCCAGCCUGGCCUUGGGCACUGCCAGGGAUCCAGGGGCAGCCACAGCUCCUCUGGGCACCCUGUGCCAGGGCCUGCCCACCCUGCCAGGGAACAAUUCCUGCCCAAAAUCCCAUCCAUCCCUGCCCUCUGGAAGCCAUUCCCUGUGUCCUGGCACUGCAGAACUCUGGAACACGGGUGUUCACCCACAAAUGUUCAUCCCCUGCCUGGUUUUGGGAAUUUGCCGGGGGAGGAACAUGGAGAAAAGGAUGUCCCCCUUCAGGGAGCAGCCUCAGCCUCGUUGUGCAUUAUCCUGGGAGUUCCUGUGUGGAAGGCAGCGGGAUCCCAGCUAAAAAUGGGGAAGAGAGGAGGUGCCUCCCUCCCGCCUGCUCCUGCUGAGGGAGCUGUCCAGUUCUGACUGCCCGGAGAAUUCCUCAUCCCCUUUGUGCUGCCACAGAGAUGCUCCCGGAGGUGCCUUUGGGCAGCUUCCCUGAGGACUCUCCCAGAAAUGGGGAGGUUUGGCCUGGAAGAGAAGCUGGAUAACCAAAAACCUCCAGGAUUUCACAGAAUCACAGAAGGGUGUGGAUUGAAAAGGACCUUGCAGAUGACCUCAAACCUGAUCUCAGAGCUGCUGUGUGUUACUGCUGCGUGUCUGAGAGCUCAGGCUGUGGGAAGGACAGAGGCAGUGAGUGCACAGGGCUGGUCGCUGGGAAGUGACCUUUUCCCAAGGCUGCCAGGAUCCCAGCUGGGUUUAUGGAUAUGAAGUCCUUUGGGAUGGUCAGAGCUUCUCAGCAGUGAAAAAUUGGUGCCUGUGAGGGGCACUUGGUAACUGCAGCAGGGCAGGGAGUGCUGCAGCUCUCAGGAUUCACUUUGGCGUGGAUCAGGAGUGCUCAGGGCCGCUGGAAUGUCUCAGGAGUGACUUCUUGGAGCUGGCUUGGCAGGCUCAGUGGGGGCAGAUGAGAGCAACGCGAGCCCACGAUGCGAUCGCAGCAGGAGCUCUGAGGAGCGCCUGCAUUUCAUCCUCCUGCUCUCAGCAUUCCCUCCCAGCAUCCAGGCUUCCAGGAGCAUGGCAGGGAAGAGAGGAGGAACCCUGGGAGCUGCUGCUGCCAGCUGCAGACAGGAACAGCCCCGUCCUUCCCAGCAGGCUGAAGCACUGCUGCUGUUCUUCCCAGCCUCUGGAAUUGCAUCCGUGACUCUGCCCGGAUCAGGAUUGCUGCUCUCUGCUGUUGCCAGGGAGCUGCAAAGCUUGGAUGUGCU